rnacentral:rRNA from 1 species
GAAACUACAAAGGAAGUUGACGGGGCCCGCACAAGCGGUGGAGUAUGUGGUUAAUUCGAUGCAACGCGAAGAACCUUACCUGGUCUUGACAUCCCGGAGACCCUUAGGAAACUAGGGGUGCUUCCAUCUGGAAGAAUCUGGAGACAGGUGCUGCAUGGCUGUCGUCAGCUCGUGUCGUGAGAUGUUGGGUUAAGUCCCGCAACGAGCGCAACCCUUGCCUUUAGUUGCCAGCAGUUCGGCUGGGCACUCUAAAGGGAUUGCCGGUGUUAAACCGGAGGAAGGUGGGGAUGACGUCAAGUCCUCAUGGCCUUUAUGACCAGGGCUACACACGUACUACAAUGGCCGAUACAAAGGGCAGCGACACUGCGAGGUGAAGCCAAUCCCGUAAAAUCGGUCUCGGGAGUCCGGAUUGGAGUCUGCAACUCGACUCCAUGAAGUUGGAAUCGCUAGUAAUCGUGGAUCAGCAUGCCACGGUGAAUACGUUCCCGGGCCUU